AGCCGAUCUCACAACAAAGAGGGGAAAAAAUAGACAAUGAGAAGUUAUGAAAGAAUAUUCCCAAUUUAGUAAAGUAAAAUAAAUUAAAACUCCAUAAUUUGGGAUAAGAUAGAUCCAUAGAUUGCUUUCUGAUUAUCUUAAACAAUUCAGCUUCGUUUUGCUUUAAAAAUUGCACUUGGUUAUCAAUAAAAAUAUCUGGUUGGUGACCAGUUUAUCGCUGUUAAAAAUAAAUUAAAAAAUAUCACAUUAUCAAUACAAAUGCAUGCCACUAUAUAUUCUACAAAUAUAUUUUUGGAAAGAUUCAAGGUAAAAAAAAGCAAAAAAAAUAUUAAUAAGGUAUCGGUGAAAAAACAAAUCCUCCACGCGAAUAAUGCUCAGUUUUACAAAGGUUUUGAUGGAUUUAUGUUGAGUUUUAAGAAAGUCCAAAUUGCAAAAUAUAAAAUGGAUAGAAAGGAGACAGCGAAAUUGUGGAAUACUAAUUGGAGAAAUAAAAACAAAUGGAAGAGAAGAACAAAUGGAGCAAAAAAGAAACGAAGAAAUGAACAAAGGAAAAUAAUUAAAAAAGCUGAAAAAAUUUAAAAAAUAAAAAAAAAAUCACAAAAAAAAGGAAAAUAAACCAAAAAAUAUAAUCGAUGGAUUUUUUAAUAUAAAUCAAAGAAUGAAUAAAUUCAAACGGUAGAACAAUUUUUACGAAACAUGGAACUUCCGUAAAAGAAAAAUAAAAACGAUGCAAAGCACAACCAACAUUACGAAUAAAAAUCUUUAAAACUUUAGAUACACGAUGAAUAAUUCACUUCAAGUUUUCUCAUACUGAUCCAGUAAUACCAAUGCAGAUAUACAUAAACACAUAUCUAUGCUCAUUUACAAUGAUAUAUGCAUAAUAUAUAUAUAUUCAAAAAGAAUGUAACACCUUAAUCAGAAACAUCAAAAAUUAGGGAGAAGGUCAGAUAGGAAAACAACAUUUAGAAAAAAGAUAAAACACAUCAAAUUGUAGAAUUAUUAUUCAAUUAAUAUAUGUAUAUACCGAAAAGAAAAUCUGUAUAUAAAUAUAUUUUCUUCAUUUUACUAAGAAAUAACGAAGAUUCUUAUUCAUUAUUCUCACUUAAGAAACAUUUUUAACAGCAAUUCAUAAUUAGAAGUGAAAAUAGAUAUUUGCGUUCCAUACAAUACGAUUAAAAUACACUGAACUUAUUUUGAACGUUAAAUACUAAAAAAAAUCAAUCGAUUAAACUGUUAUUGGAAACAAUGAAUAAAAUAGAUUCAAUUUUUUUUGUGCAAACCAAAGCUUUUGUUUUUUUUU